rnacentral:rRNA from 1 species
UACGUAGGGUGCGAGCGUUGUCCGGAAUUAUUGGGCGUAAAGAGCUUGUAGGCGGUUUGUCGCGUCUGCUGUGAAAAUCCGGGGCUCAACCCCGGACUUGCAGUGGGUACGGGCAGACUAGAGUUCGGUAGGGGAGACUGGAAUUCCUGGUGUAGCGGUGAAAUGCGCAGAUAUCAGGAGGAACACCGGUGGCGAAGGCGGGUUGCUGGGCUGACACUGACGCUGAAGUGCGAAAGCUAGGGGAGCGAACGGG